rnacentral:lncRNA from 1 species
GUUAUUCGAUAAAUAAUUGAAAUAAUACUAAAAUUUAAAUUUAGAGUGAUUUAAUUUUCUACACAUAUAUUUCUCCCUUUAAAAUUUGGGUUCCUUGUAUUUUCUUAAAUCUUCAACAUCACAAGGCUAUUCAAUUGAUCUUUACUUCGGCUCAACACUCGAAAACCUAGUCUUGAAAGAUUGAAAUGAUUUAUCUUGUUAGUAAAUCAUCGCUCAACACUCGAAAACCUAGUCUUGAAAGAUUGAAAUGAUUUAUCUUGUUAGUAAAUCAUCACUCACUUAGGCCCCUCUUUGGAUCACUGUUGUUUUAUUCUUAUCGAAAAUAAACACACAGCCUAUCCAAAUAUACCCUUAAUUGAAAUUGAAUCUGAAUCGAGUCCUCGCAUUACACUUUCCUCGGCCCUUUAUUCUUGACGGUUGAAUCCAUUGUAAAGUCCUUUGUUUCAAAGCAACAAACUUUAGCUCUGUCUUUUUCUUCAAUUGGGACUUUCCUAUAUGAAAAAAUAUAUAUUUUUCAUAUAUAUAUUUGUAAGACCCAAAUUUUGCCCGGGCCCAUACCAGCCAAAUAAACCCAAAUAAUAAAAACAAAAAAAGUCCAUUUACAUUAAACCAACAGCCCAUAAACUUAAACUCUUUUCAGCUAAAAAAAGAAAGACAAAACAACCCUAGCCGCAGGCCUAGCCACUGGCGCCGCUCCAACUCCCCGCAUGGCGCACGCCCCUGCUCUUAGCCGUCAACCGCCGCAUGCGUACCAGGCCUCCUCCACGCGUGUCAGAACACCUACAAAACAGCAAAAACACGCAACAACGAGCAGCAAUAGGCAAAAAACAAAAAAAAAAGAAACAAAAAGUUGUUUAGAUUGGCUAUAAAGCCAAAAAUCAGAGACUUGUAAUCGUCUUCGACCUCUUUACGAAUCUUGAGAAAUAAAAACAAAAAACAAAACUUUGAGAGGAUUUUCCUUUUAUUUCAAUCUUUCUUUUUUAUCUUGAUUUAUAUAAUUGUUUUUUUUUUAUUUUCAUAAACAAGAAUAAUAAGAAAGAGACUUACCGGAGAGGCCCCGUGACCGCUUUGUCGGAGGGCCGAUCUCCAUCGCAAGGGCUGAAGGUUGGGGAAAGGGAGGCUUCGUUCUCUUUUCUUCUUUGUGGGAAAAGAGGCGCUCCUCCCCGAAACCUGAGAAACGGGCUUAAAGGCCCUGCUUUGUGCGACGUCGGUCGCCGUUCUCGGGGUGCCGCGGCGGCGCGUGGUGGUCUGGCAUUUGGGUUCCUAAGCUAGGCUGAAACCCUAGCAAAGAAAGGGAAAGUCCCUUUUAAAUUUUCUAUUCUAUGUAAAAAAAAUUUGAAACUACUAAACUAAGUGAUUUUUUUUAGCUGUUAUAGUGGAAACGGCGCCGUUUGAGGGAGGGAAUUUGCACAUUCAUGCCCUAAAGGGGUAAUUUCUGCAAUUGGUCCUUUUUC